UACAGAGGGUGCAAGCGUUGUUCGGAAUUAUUGGGCGUAAAGCGCGUGUAGGCGGCUUUGCAAGUCGGGUGUGAAAUCCCUCAGCUCAACUGAGGAAGUGCGCCCGAAACUGCAGAGCUUGAGUACCGGAGAGGAUGGCGGAAUUCCCCAAGUAGAGGUGAAAUUCGUAGAUAUGGGGAGGAACACCGGUGGCGAAGGCGGCCAUCUGGACGGAUACUGACGCUGAGGCGCGAAAGCAUGGGGAGCGAACGGG
rnacentral:rRNA from 1 species